rnacentral:misc_RNA from 1 species
UAAAUCCAGAGCUAAAAGUUCCAGGAGGAAGCAAGACCAUGCAAAGUGCUGCAGAGGCAAGAACAGUCGCACUAACUGUUUCCAACCGUUGAAUCAACCACUCAUUUGCUGCAAAACUGUGGAAGAAAGGACUAGCAUUUGUGUCGAUGAGAUCAAGAUUCUUUGCAAAGAAUCUCUCCUCCUCCUCAAAAGCCCUUAUUGUCAUAGCACCUGCUACAGAUUCUGCUAAAUGAUUUGCCACCAAAGAUUUGGUUGUACCAUUGAUCCUCAUCAACUCUUUUGCAGAGGCAAAGUAAUAUCUCUGUAAACGAAUUGCCAGAUAAAGCAUUGGUAUGGAGACAAACAGGACUUGCCAGGUAACAACAGCAAGUACUCCAAGACUGGCAUAGGCAUUUGUGGUAGCCCCCACCGCAAAGAUUAUACUGAAUGGAACAUCAAGAUCAACGAUACUCAGAUCGGA